rnacentral:lncRNA from 1 species
UGGGGUUGGAAUGGUGGCUAGGGUGGUGAAGGUGGCUAUGGGUUUGGGUUUGGAGUGGUGGUGGUGAUGGUGGCUGGGUUUGGGAGGUGGUUGAGGUGGUUAACAUUUAAGCCAUACAUAUCAUAUAGUGCAACUUAUGGCAAUAUGAAAUACUUGAUUUUCAAUUCUAAUGUUCAUAUUGCUCUGAGUAAAUUAUCAUGUUCAAUUCUCAAACUCUGGGUUGCUUUUCAAAGCUGUUUUCAGAUUUGUGCAACUACAAUGUAUUUUGCGCGACGUCUU